rnacentral:tRNA from 1 species
UCCCUUGUGGCUCAGCUGGUAAAGAAUCUGCCUGCAAUGCAGGGAACCUGGGUUCGAUCCCUGGUUUGGGAU